rnacentral:tRNA from 1 species
UCCCUGGUGGUCCAGUGGCUAAGACUCCAUACUACCAAUGUAGGGGGCUUAGGUUAGAUUCCUGGUUAGGGAA